rnacentral:tRNA from 1 species
CCCUGGUUGGCUCAGUGGUUGAGCAUCUGCCUUCGACUCAGGUCUCGACCCCAGGAUCCUGGGAUCCAGUCCCAAAUCAGGCU